rnacentral:rRNA from 1 species
UACAGAGGGGGCAAGCGUUGUUCGGAAUUACUGGGCGUAAAGGGCGCGUAGGCGGCCUUCUAAGUCGAACGUGAAAUCCCCGGGCUCAACCCGGGAACUGCGUCCGAUACUGGAAGGCUUGAAUCCGGGAGAGGGAUGCGGAAUUCCAGGUGUAGCGGUGAAAUGCGUAGAUAUCUGGAGGAACACCGGUGGCGAAGGCGGCCCACUGGUCCGGUACUGACGCUGAGGUGCGAAAGCGUGGGGAGCAAACAGG